rnacentral:rRNA from 1 species
UACGAAGGGUGCUAGCGUUGUUCGGAAUUACUGGGCGUAAAGGGCGCGUAGGCGGUCCUAUAAGUCAGAUGUGAAAGCCCUGGGCUCAACCCGGGAAUGGCAUUUGAAACUGUGGGACUAGAGAUCGAAAGGGGAAAGUGGAAUGAUGAGUGUAGAGGUGAAAUUCGUAGAUAUUCAUUGGAACACCGGUGGCGAAGGCGACUUUCUGGUUCGAUACUGACGCUAAGGCGCGAAAGCGUGGGGAGCAAACAGGAUUAGAUACCCUGGUAGUCCACGCUGUAAACGAUGAGUGCUAGAUGUUGGUGGAGAUGUCCAUCAGUAUCGCAGCUAACGCAUUAAGCACUCCGCCUGGGGAGUACGGUCGCAAGAUUAAA